CGCUGGCGGCGUGCCUAACACAUGCAAGUUUAGUGGCGGACGGGUGAGUAACGCGUGAGCAACCUGCCUUUCAGAGGGGGGACAACAGUUGGAAACGACUGCUAAUACCGCAUGAUGUGUCGGGAUCGCAUGAUCUUGACACCAAAGAUUUUAUCGCUGAAAGAUGGACUCGCGUACGAUUAGAUAGUUGGUGAGGUAACGGCUCACCAAGUCGACGAUCGUUAGCCGGACUGAGAGGUUGAACGGCCACAUUGGGACUGAGACACGGCCCAGACUCCUACGGGAGGCAGCAGUGAGGAAUAUUGGGCAAUGGGCGCAAGCCUGACCCAGCAAUGCCGCGUGAAGGAAGACGGUUUUCGGAUUGUAAACUUCUUUUGUCAGGGACGAACAAAUGACGGUACCUGACGAAUAAGCCACGGCUAACUACGUG
rnacentral:rRNA from 1 species